rnacentral:tRNA from 1 species
GGGUAGCUCAAUUGGUUAGAGCAAAGCGCUAAAGACGCUUGUGUCACAGGUUCGAUUCCUGUCCC